rnacentral:rRNA from 3 species
GGACUACUGGGGUUUCUAAUCCCGUUUGCUCCCCUGGCUUUCGCGCCUCAGCGUCAGCAGAGGUCCAGCACGCCGCUUUCGCCACCGGCGUUCCUUCCGAUAUCUACGCAUUUCACCGCUCCACCGGAAGUUCCGCAUGCCCCUACCUCCCUCGAGGCCCCCAGUAUCCGCGGCCCUGCCCCAGUUGAGCUGGGGGCUUUCACCACGGACUCGGGGACCCGCCUACGCGCCCUUUAAGCCCAGUGAUUCCGAACAACGUUCGCACGGUUCGUCUUACCGCGGCUGCUGGCAC